rnacentral:rRNA from 1 species
UACGAAGGGGGCUAGCGUUGCUCGGAAUCACUGGGCGUAAAGCGCACGUAGGCGGAUCUUUAAGUCAGGGGUGAAAUCCCGGAGCUCAACUCCGGAACUGCCUUUGAUACUGGGGAUCUUGGAGUCCGGGAGAGGUGAGUGGAACUGCGAGUGUAGAGGUGAAAUUCGUAGAUAUUCGCAAGAACACCAGUGGCGAAGGCGGCUUACUGGUCCGGUUCUGACGCUGAGGCGCGAAAAGCGUGGGGAGCAAACAGG